GAUGAACGCUGGCGGCGUGCCUAAUACAUGCAAGUCGAGCGAACAGACGAGGAGCUUGCUCCUCUGACGUUAGCGGCGGACGGGUGAGUAACACGUGGAUAACCUACCUAUAAGACUGGGAUAACUUCGGGAAACCGGAGCUAAUACCGGAUAAUAUAUUGAACCGCAUGGUUCAAUAGUGAAAGACGGUUUUGCUGUCACUUAUAGAUGGAUCCGCGCCGCAUUAGCUAGUUGGUAAGGUAACGGCUUACCAAGGCAACGAUGCGUAGCCGACCUGAGAGGGUGAUCGGCCACACUGGAACUGAGACACGGUCCAGACUCCUACGGGAGGCAGCAGUAGGGAAUCUUCCGCAAUGGGCGAAAGCCUGACGGAGCAACGCCGCGUGAGUGAUGAAGGUCUUCGGAUCGUAAAACUCUGUUAUUAGGGAAGAGCAAAUGUGUAAGUAACUAUGCACGUCUUGACGGUACCUAAUCAAAAAGCCACGGCUAACUACGU
rnacentral:rRNA from 1 species